GCAAUACACAAUGCACCAGGUUCUCUUCUGAACUUUCCAAGAGCAUGAUACAGAAAUUAAGUUCUGAAGAUAAAUUCAUUUCCCCUUCUUUUUUUUUGGACCAUUGCAAAAUUUUGUCACACAGCCCAAUAUAGAAGAUGACCAUCAAUGGAGGGAACAUAAGCACAGGCAAUAUUCGUUAAUAGAAGAUGAUGAAUCUCAGCUGUAAGUUCUUCACCCAAUAUCCAGAAGAAAAAUACAUUCGGCAUCAGCAAUGAAGGGGAUACAAGUUUAAUUCUCGUAUAGUUGCAGAGCUACAGAUGAUUGUUUCUCCUCUAUUAUAGCCAAAUACAGGAAUAAUGGUUCCAACUUUAUUGAAACAACAGACAUUCACUCAGCAGCUAUCCAGAUGCUAAAAUAUCAAUCAGCAAUUCUCACUAGAAGAAAUGGAAAACAGCAA